rnacentral:rRNA from 1 species
CCUACGGGUGGGCAGCAGUGAGGAAUAUUGGUCAAUGGGCGGAAGCCUGAACCAGCCAAGUAGCGUGCAGGAUGACGGCCCUACGGGUUGUAAACUGCUUUUAUACGGGAAUAACGCGCCUUACGUGUAGGGCUUUGCAUGUACCGUAUGAAUAAGGACCGGCUAAUUCCGUGCCAGCAGCCGCGGUAAUACGUAGGUGCCUGGCGUUAUCCGGAUUUAUUGGGUGUAAAGGGAGCGUAGGCCGCAUGUCAAGCGUGCUGUGAAAUGUCCGGGCUCAACCCGGGCGUUGCAGCGGGAACUGGCGUGCUUGAGUGCGCGGGAGGCAGGCGGAAUUCGUUGUGUAGCGGUGAAAUGCUUAGAUAUGACGAAGAACCCCGAUUGCGAAGGCAGCUUGCUGGAGCGGAACUGACGCUGAUGCUCGAAAGCGGGGGUAUCGAACAGGAUUAGAUACCCCAGUAGUC